GAUGAACGCUGACAGAAUGCUUAACACAUGCAAGUCAACUUGAACUUCGGUUUGGGUGGCGGACGGGUGAGUAACGCGUAAAGAACUUGCCUCACAGAUAGGGACAACAUUUGGAAACGAAUGCUAAUACCUGAUAUUAUGAUUUUAGGGCAUCCUAGGAUUAUGAAAGCUAUAUGCACUGUGAGAGAGCUUUGCGUCCCAUUAGCUAGUUGGAGAGGUAACGGCUCACCAAGGCGAUGAUGGGUAGCCGGCCUGAGAGGGUGAUCGGCCACAAGGGGACUGAGACACGGCCCUUACUCCUACGGGAGGCAGCAGUGGGGAAUAUUGGACAAUGGACCAAGAGUCUGAUCCAGCAAUUCUGUGUGCACGAUGAAGUUUUUCGGAAUGUAAAGUGCUUUCAGUUGGGAAGAAAAAAAUGACGGUACCAACAGAAGAAGUGACGGCUAAAUACGUGCCAGCAGCCGCGGUAAUACGUAUGUCACAAGCGUUAUCCGGAUUUAUUGGGCGUAAAGCGCGUCUAGGUGGUUAUGUAAGUCUGAUGUGAAAAUGCAGGGCCCAACUCUGUAUUGCGUUGGAAACUGUGUAACUAGAGUACUGGAGAGGUAAGCGGAACUACAAGUGUAGAGGUGAAAUUCGUAGAUAUUUGUAGGAAUGCCGAUGGGGAAGCCAGCUUACUGGACAGAUACUGACGCUGAAGCGCGAAAGCGUGGGUAGCAAACAGG
rnacentral:rRNA from 1 species